GCGCGCGCGGGGCGGCUGGGCCGGCGAGGCCGACCGGGUGCGGCGGCCUCUGGUGGCGGGUCCGGGGUCCCGCAGGGCGCAAGGCGGCUCAGGGGCCGGGCGGGUGCAGGGACGGCUUGAUGAAGUAAAAAACCCCGAGGUGUGCGGACUGCCGGUGCUCGGUCGGGUCCUGAGCCUGCACAGGGACCCGUGCGGCUGAGACCCAAGUGGAAGGGGACGUCGGGCAGAGGAAAGGCGUGUGCAGCGGCGCCGAGGCCCAUCGGAAGAAGCUAGGGGAGCCCGGGGCGGGGGGCGGCUCGCAGGCCAGGGCGGUGCCGGGGCAGCAUCCCGUGCGAGGCGUCACCCCCUGGCCGGCGGACUGUGCUGGCAGGGAGGCCGACUCUUCUGGCAAAGUAGUGGCCCCGAGCCCAGGCAGAGGACUGGGGAGAGUAAAUCCCGGCGCCGAGAGGGCCAGAGCUUUCGGAUUUUGUUCACCGAGGUGUCCCCGCCCGUGUCUUGCGAGCGGUCGUUACUCGGUGCUCAGUGGAAGGAAGUGGCACCCCGCCCCAGACGUUGUUUGAACAGGAGCCGGUGGGGGUUAGCCCCUCUGGGCCCAGGUGGAACCCAGGCUGUCUACCCAGGAAUGUAUCUCUGUGUGCAGCUCCCUGCCCCUGGUGCAGCCACGCCUGUGUGUGGGCACCGUGGACAGCCCACAUGACUUCCAGGAGCUGCGCCCUCCUGCUGUUCCUGCUUCCUGCCAAUUCUACCUGGAGCCUUGGGGACACCUUGACCCUGAGAAAGGACCUUGAGGAGGGAGCCUCCACCUGGACGGUGCAGAUGGUGAUGAAAUCCGCAGACUGCCUUCUCUGGACUUUGUACUUGGCAGAGAAAUAAAUAUGUGUUUUUUCCCAAA